rfam:Sugiyamaella lignohabitans strain CBS 10342 mitochondrion genome.
AACAGGCUUAUUUCCCGAGAGAGUACAUAUUGUAAGGGAAGUUUGGCACCUCGAUGUCGACUCAGCGUAUCCUACAGGUUGUAGUUGCUUGUAAGGGUUUGACUGUUCGUCAAAUAAAACGCUACGUGAGUUGGGUUAAGAACGUCGCAAGACAGUUC